GGCCCAAUGGUCUAGUGGUAUGAUUGUCGCUUCGGGUUCUUCCCUCUUCUCCACGAGAAGAAUGAUUGUGACAGGCCCCGCGUUCGAAUCGCGGUUGGGCCC